rnacentral:lncRNA from 10 species
AUGUUGCAUCCUGUUAGCCAGGUUCCUAGUUCAGUUUAGCUGUUGUGCAGGUCAAGGACUCUUAAGGAUUGAAUUGCAUCCCUUCAAAAGAUAUUGAAGUCCUAACCCCCAGAAUCGGUGACUGUGACCUUAUUUGGAAAUGGGUCUUUGCAGACACAAUCAAGUUAAGAUGAGGUCAUAUUGGAUUAAAGUGGUGUGUAAUUCAAUAGAUGAUCUCUUUAAUGAAAAGGGAAAUUUGUACUGAGAAACACAGAGGGAAAUGCUAUGUGAAGAUGGAGGCAGAGAUUGGAGUGAUUUGGAGCAAUGUGUAUGUCUGCAAGCCAAGGAACACCAAGUAUUGCCAGCCAUCACCAGAGCUGGAGGAGGGGCCUGGAACAGAUUCCCACUAGAGCCCCCAAAAGGAUCCAACCCUGCUGACACUUUGACUUUGGAGUUGUGGCCUUCAGAACUGUGAGAGAAUUAAUUUGUGUUGUUUUGAGCCACUCAGAGUGUGGUAUUUUGUUAUAGAAGUCCUUGGAUACUAAUAAAGACAUUAAUAGCC